UACGUAGGCAGCAAGCGUUGUUCGGAGUUACUGGGCGUAAAGAGUGCGUAGGCGGUGUCGAAAGUUUGGCGUGAAAUCUCCUGCUUAACUGGGAGGGUGCGCCGAAAACUGCGAUGCUGGAGUGUGGGAAAGGCAAGCGGAAUUCCUGGUGUAGCGGUGAAAUGCGUAGAUAUCAGGAGGAACACCGGCGGUGUAGACGGCUUGCUAGACCAUAACUGACGCUGAGGCACGAAAGCGUGGGUAGCAAACAGG
rnacentral:rRNA from 1 species